GACGAACGCUGGCGGCGUGCCUAAUACAUGCAAGUUGAGCGCUGAAGGUUGGUACUUGUACCAACUGGAUGAGCAGCGAACGGGUGAGUAACGCGUGGGGAAUCUGCCUUUGAGCGGGGGACAACAUUUGGAAACGAAUGCUAAUACCGCAUAAAAACUUUAAACACAAGUUUUAAGUUUGAAAGAUGCAAUUGCAUCACUCAAAGAUGAUCCCGCGUUGUAUUAGCUAGUUGGUGAGGUAAAGGCUCACCAAGGCGAUGAUACAUAGCCGACCUGGGAGGGUGAUCGGCCAAAGUGGGACUGAGACACGGCCCAAACUCCUACGGGAGGCAGCAGUAGGGAAUCUUCGGCAAUGGACGAAAGUCUGACCGAGCAACGCCGCGGGAGGGAAGAAGGUUUUCGGAUCGGAAAACUCUGUUGGUAGAGAAGAACGUUGGUGAGAGUGGAAAGCUCAUCAAGUGACGGUAACUACACAGAAAGGGACGGCUAACUACGUG
rnacentral:rRNA from 1 species